rnacentral:rRNA from 1 species
AGAGUUUGAUCCUGGCUCAGGACGAACGCUGGCGGCGUGCCUAAUACAUGCAAGUUGAGCGCUGAAGGUUGGUACUUGUACCGACUGGAUGAGCAGCGAACGGGUGAGUAACGCGUGGGGAAUCUGCCUUUGAGCGGGGGACAACAUUUGGAAACGAAUGCUAAUACCGCAUAAAAACUUUAAACACAAGUUUUAAGUUUGAAAGAUGCAAUUGCAUCACUCAAAGAUGAUCCCGCGUUGUAUUAGCUAGUUGGUGAGGUAAAGGCUCACCAAGGCGAUGAUACAUAGCCGACCUGAGAGGGUGAUCGGCCACAUUGGGACUGAGACACGGCCCAAACUCCUACGGGAGGCAGCAGUAGGGAAUCUUCGGCAAUGGACGAAAGUCUGACCGAGCAACGCCGCGUGAGUGAAGAAGGUUUUCGGAUCGUAAAACUCUGUUGGUAGAGAAGAACGUUGAUGAGAGUGGAAAGCUCAUCAAGUGACGGUAACUACCCAGAAAGGGACGGCUAACUACGUGCCAGCAGCCGCGGUAAUACGUAGGUCCCGAGCGUUGUCCGGAUUUAUUGGGCGUAAAGCGAGCGCAGGUGGUUUAUUAAGUCUGGUGUAAAAGGCAGUGGCUCAACCAUUGUAUGCAUUGGAAACUGGUAGACUUGAGUGCAGGAGAGGAGAGUGGAAUUCCAUGUGUAGCGGUGAAAUGCGUAGAUAUAUGGAGGAACACCGGUGGCGAAAGCGGCUCUCUGGCCUGUAACUGACACUGAGGCUCGAAAGCGUGGGGAGCAAACAGGAUUAGAUACCCUGGUAGUCCACGCCGUAAACGAUGUCGACUUGGAGGUUGUGCCCUUGAGGCGUGGCUUCCGGAGCUAACGCGUUAAGUCGACCGCCUGGGGAGUACGGCCGCAAGGUUAAAACUCAAAUGAAUUGACGGGGGCCCGCACAAGCGGUGGAGCAUGUGGUUUAAUUCGAUGCAACGCGAAGAACCUUACCUGGUCUUGACAUCCACGGAAGUUUUCAGAGAUGAGAAUGUGCCUUCGGGAACCGUGAGACAGGUGCUGCAUGGCUGUCGUCAGCUCGUGUUGUGAAAUGUUGGGUUAAGUCCCGCAACGAGCGCAACCCUUAUCCUUUGUUGCCAGCGGUCCGGCCGGGAACUCAAAGGAGACUGCCAGUGAUAAACUGGAGGAAGGUGGGGAUGACGUCAAAUCAUCAUGCCCCUUAUGACCUGGGCUACACACGUGCUACAAUGGAUGGUACAACGAGUCGCGAGACAGUGAUGUUUAGCUAAUCUCUUAAAACCAUUCUCAGUUCGGAUUGUAGGCUGCAACUCGCCUACAUGAAGUCGGAAUCGCUAGUAAUCGCGGAUCAGCACGCCGCGGUGAAUACGUUCCCGGGCCUUGUACACACCGCCCGUCACACCACGGGAGUUGGGAGUACCCGAAGUAGGUUGCCUAACCGCAAGGAGGGCGCUUCCUAAGGUAAGACCGAUGACUGGGGUGAAGUCGUAACAAGGUAGCCGUAUCGGAAGGUGCGGCUG